AACGAACGCUGGCGGCAUGCCUAACACAUGCAAGUCGAACGAGACCUUCGGGUCUAGUGGCGCACGGGUGCGUAACGCGUGGGAAUCUGCCCUUGGGUUCGGAAUAACAGUUAGAAAUGACUGCUAAUACCGGAUGAUGACUUCGGUCCAAAGAUUUAUCGCCCAAGGAUGAGCCCGCGUCGGAUUAGCUAGUUGGUGAGGUAAAGGCUCACCAAGGCGACGAUCCGUAGCUGGUCUGAGAGGAUGAUCAGCCACACUGGGACUGAGACACGGCCCAGACUCCUACGGGAGGCAGCAGUGGGGAAUAUUGGACAAUGGGCGAAAGCCUGAUCCAGCAAUGCCGCGUGAGUGAUGAAGGCCUUAGGGUUGUAAAGCUCUUUUACCCGGGAUGAUAAUGACAGUACCGG
rnacentral:rRNA from 1 species